AGCGUACACGGUGGAUGCCCUGGCAGUCAGAGGCGAUGAAGGACGUGCUAAUCUGCGAAAAGCGCCGGCGAGGUGAUAUGAACCCUUGACCCGGCGAUGUCCGAAUGGGGAAACCCAGUGUGUUCCGACACACUAUCGUUAACUGAAUACAUAGGUUAACGAGGCGAACCGGGGGAACUGAAACAUCUAAGUACCCCGAGGAAAAGAAAUCAACCGAGAUUCCCCCAGUAGCGGCGAGCGAACGGGGAGCAGCCCGGAGUCUGAAUCAGCUUGUGUGUUAGUGGAACGGUCUGGAAAGUCCGACGGUACAGGGUGAUAGUCCCGUACACGAAAAUGCACAUGCUGUGAACUCGAAGAGUAGGGCGGGACACGUGGUAUCCUGUCUGAAUAUGGGGGGACCAUCCUCCAAGGCUAAAUACUCCUGACUGACCGAUAGUGAACCAGUACCGUGAGGGAAAGGCGAAAAGAACCCCGGCGAGGGGAGUGAAAAAGAACCUGAAACCGUGUACGUACAAGCAGUGGGAGCCUCUUUAUGGGGUGACUGCGUACCUUUUGUAUAAUGGGUCAGCGACUUAUAUUCUGUAGCAAGGUUAACCGUAUAGGGGAGCCGAAGGGAAACCGAGUCUUAACUGGGCGUUAAGUUGCAGGGUAUAGACCCGAAACCCGGUGAUCUAGCCAUGGGCAGGUUGAAGGUUGGGUAACACUAACUGGAGGACCGAACCGACUAAUGUUGAAAAAUUAGCGGAUGACCUGUGGCUGGGGGUGAAAGGCCAAUCAAACCGGGAGAUAGCUGGUUCUCCCCGAAAGCUAUUUAGGUAGCGCCUCGUGAACUCAUCUUCGGGGGUAGAGCACUGUUUCGGCUAGGGGGCCAUCCCGGCUUACCAACCCGAUGCAAACUACGAAUACCGAAGAAUGUUAUCACGGGAGACACACGGCGGGUGCUAACGUCCGUCGUGAAGAGGGAAACAACCCAGACCGCCAGCUAAGGUCCCAAAGUCAUGGUUAAGUGGGAAACGAUGUGGGAAGGCACAGACAGCCAGGAUGUUGGCUUAGAAGCAGCCAUCAUUUAAAGAAAGCGUAAUAGCUCACUGGUCGAGUCGGCCUGCGCGGAAGAUGUAACGGGGCUAAACCAUGCACCGAAGCUGCGGCAGCGACGCUUAUGCGUUGUUGGGUAGGGGAGCGUUCUGUAAGCCGUUGAAGGUGUGCUGUGAGGCAUGCUGGAGGUAUCAGAAGUGCGAAUGCUGACAUAAGUAACGAUAAAGCGGGUGAAAAGCCCGCUCGCCGGAAGACCAAGGGUUCCUGUCCAACGUUAAUCGGGGCAGGGUGAGUCGACCCCUAAGGCGAGGCCGAAAGGCGUAGUCGAUGGGAAACAGGUUAAUAUUCCUGUACUUGGUGUUACUGCGAAGGGGGGACGGAGAAGGCUAUGUCAGCCGGGCGACGGUUGUCCCGGUUUAAGCAUGUAGGCGGAGGUUCCAGGUAAAUCCGGUACCUUAUUAACGCUGAGGUGUGAUGACGAGGCACUACGGUGCUGAAGUGAUAAAUGCCCUGCUUCCAGGAAAAGCCUCUAAGCAUCAGGUAACACGAAAUCGUACCCCAAACCGACACAGGUGGUCAGGUAGAGAAUACCAAGGCGCUUGAGAGAACUCGGGUGAAGGAACUAGGCAAAAUGGUGCCGUAACUUCGGGAGAAGGCACGCUGAUAUGUAGGUGAAGCCCCUGCGGGCGGAGCUGAAAUCAGUCGAAGAUACCAGCUGGCUGCAACUGUUUAUUAAAAACACAGCACUGUGCAAACACGAAAGUGGACGUAUACGGUGUGACGCCUGCCCGGUGCCGGAAGGUUAAUUGAUGGGGUUAGCGGCAACGCGAAGCUCUUGAUCGAAGCCCCGGUAAACGGCGGCCGUAACUAUAACGGUCCUAAGGUAGCGAAAUUCCUUGUCGGGUAAGUUCCGACCUGCACGAAUGGCGUAAUGAUGGCCAGGCUGUCUCCACCCGAGACUCAGUGAAAUUGAACUCGCUGUGAAGAUGCAGUGUACCCGCGGCAAGACGGAAAGACCCCGUGAACCUUUACUAUAGCUUGACACUGAACACUGGUCCUUGAUGUGUAGGAUAGGUGGGAGGCUUUGAAGCGUGGACGCCAGUCUGCGUGGAGCCGUCCUUGAAAUACCACCCUUUAAUGGCUGGUGUUCUAACGUAGACCCGUGAUCCGGGUUGCGGACAGUGUCUGGUGGGUAGUUUGACUGGGGCGGUCUCCUCCCAAAGAGUAACGGAGGAGCACGAAGGUUGGCUAAUCCUGGUCGGACAUCAGGAGGUUAGUGCAAUGGCAUAAGCCAGCUUGACUGCGAGCGUGACGGCGCGAGCAGGUGCGAAAGCAGGUCAUAGUGAUCCGGUGGUUCUGAAUGGAAGGGCCAUCGCUCAACGGAUAAAAGGUACUCCGGGGAUAACAGGCUGAUACCGCCCAAGAGUUCAUAUCGACGGCGGUGUUUGGCACCUCGAUGUCGGCUCAUCACAUCCUGGGGCUGAAGUAGGUCCCAAGGGUAUGGCUGUUCGCCAUUUAAAGUGGUACGCGAGCUGGGUUUAGAACGUCGUGAGACAGUUCGGUCCCUAUCUGCCGUGGGCGCUGGAGAAUUGAGGGGGGCUGCUCCUAGUACGAGAGGACCGGAGUGGACGCAUCACUGGUGUUCGGGUUGUCAUGCCAAUGGCA
rnacentral:rRNA from 1 species